UUAAAGAAGCUAUUUAAGAAUAAAAACACUGAAACUAUAUGAAACUAUUUAAAGAGUGAUAAAUGAAAGCGGCUUUUUGUUGUAUUUUGGAUUGUGGAACUGUAUUGAUUGGCAAAAAUAAUGUUAUUGUAGUCUAGUUAUACUAGUUUGUCAACAGUAUAUUGAUGUAAAAACAACAGUCUUUAUUUUUUUAUUUGUUUAUUUAUUAAAAGAUGAGAUGUUUUAAAAAAAGGGUAGGCAUUAUAAGCAAGAGCUUCAGCCUACACCUGUUCAGACUAAUGUAAAUAUGUUGUUGUACAUUAGCUCAGUUGUGUUGAACCUAAGUUGUCCGUCUGAAAUAAACUAAACUAAACAUUCAAACUCAACAACAUGCAGGGCUAAAAGCCCCGGAUCUUUUGCACUACUAGCGACGCGGACGCGCCGACGCCCCUGGACAUGCAUACUACACGCAAGGGCUACAAAACUAACAUUUUUAUUUAAAACAUUGUCUUACCUGCAAGCGACGCGCGAGCAUCAUCCCGCUGUCUCUUCUUUUUUCUUUUUUCCGCCCCCGACUCUUGGUGCCUUUUCGAGGCCAUGUCUGAGGUCGGUGUCUGCCAAAUUUGACAUUGAUUGAGGCAUAAUCGAACAGACCACUGGGAGGUGGGGAAGGGGGGGCACCAGAGGGAGACUGGCACAGAGAUUCACCUUUUUCUCGACUAAUUUGGUCUAGGCCUAUAUUACUUUUGUAUUGCUUUUGUAUAUUAACAUGCUUUUAGAAAUAUUUUAUUUGUUAUUUAUACUAGUAGCCUAUUGUGACAUGGCCUCGAAAAGGCACCAAGAGUCGGGGGCGGAAAAAAGAAAAAAGAAGAGACAGCGGGAUGAUGCUCGCGCGUCGCUUGCAGGUAAGACAAUGUUUUAAAUAAAAAUGUUAGUUUUGUAGCCCUUGCGUGUAGUAUGCAUGUCCAGGGGCGUCGGCGCGUCCGCGUCGCUAGUAGUGCAAAAGAUCCGGGGCUUUUAGCCCUGCAUGUUGUUGAGUUUGAAUGUUUAGUUUAGUUUAUUUCAGACGGACAACUUAGGUUCAACACAACUGAGCUAAUGUACAACAACAUAUUUACAUUAGUCUGAACAGGUGUAGGCUGAAGCUCUUGCUUAUAAUGCCUACCCUUUUUAAAACAUCUCAUCUUUUAAUAAAUAAACAAAUAAAAAUAAAGAAAAAAAAACUGUUGUUUUACAUCAAUAUACUGUUGACAAACUAGUAUAACUAGACUACAAUAACAUUAUUUUUGCCAAUCAAUACAGUUCCACAAUCCAAAAUACAACAAAAAGCCGCUUUCAUUUAUCACUCUUUAAAUAGUUUCAUAUAGUUUCAGUGUUUUAUUCUUAAAUAGCUUCUUUAAUUUGCUAAGUGACCCACAUAUUUUUAAUUCCUCUUGACAGCUGUUCCAUAGAAUUACACCUUUAACUGAAAUACAAUAGUAUUUUGCAUUGGUCCUCACUUGGUUCUUUUUAAACAUACAAGUUCCCCUUAAAUCAUGUUGACAUUCUCUUUCUGUAAACAACCCUUGGAUACUUUCUGGCAAUUGAUGAUUGUUUGCUUUGUACAUAAUUUGUAAUGUUUUUAGUUCUACUAAUUCUUUAAACUUUAGGGCCUUUAGUUCAAUAAAUAGGGAGUUUGUUGGCUCCCUAUAGUUGGUUUUCUUUACUAUUCGUAUGGCUCUCUUUUGUAGCAUAAAUAUUGAAUUGGUAUUUGUUUUGUAUGUAUUUCCCCAUACUUCCACACAAUAAGUAAUGUAUGGAAGCACUAGGGAGCAAUACAAGGUAUAUAAUGAUUUUUCAUUUAAUAAGUCUUUAACUUUAUAUAAUAUUGCAAUUGACUUUGAAAUCUUGUUCUUAGUAUAGGAUAUAUGGGGCUUCCAAUUUAAGUCAUUGUCAAUUAUCACCCCAAGAAAUUUAAUUGCCGACACCCUUUCUAUUUCAAUUUCAUUAAUCAUUAAUUUACCUCUUGUGUUCGGUAAACGAUUACCAAACACAAUAAAUUUUGUUUUACUUAUAUUUAAUGUUAGUUUAUUCAAAUCAAACCAAUUUUUU
ensembl:lncRNA